UCCACUAAUUCGCUCCGAGCCGUUUCGCCUAAAGCGCGUCUUUAUCCCAGCGCCAUGGCGGCCCGGCCGAGGGUGACGGGGGAAACCCCGCCGCCUCCCGUGCUUGGAAAGGAGCCUUGCGAUGACUAAU
rnacentral:ncRNA from 2 species